CGUACACUCCUACGGGAGGCAGCAGUGGGGAAUAUUGGACAAUGGGCGCAAGCCUGAUCCAGCCAUGCCGCGUGAGUGAUGAAGGCCCUAGGGUUGUAAAGCUCUUUCACCGGUGAAGAUAAUGACGGUAACCGGAGAAGAAGCCCCGGCUAACUUCGUGCCAGCAGCCGCGGUAAUACGAAGGGGGCUAGCGUUGUUCGGAUUUACUGGGCGUAAAGCGCACGUAGGCGGACUAUUAAGUCAGGGGUGAAAUCCCGGGGCUCAACCCCGGAACUGCCUUUGAUACUGGUAGUCUUGAGUUCGAGAGAGGUGAGUGGAAUUCCGAGUGUAGAGGUGAAAUUCGUAGAUAUUCGGAGGAACACCAGUGGCGAAGGCGGCUCACUGGCUCGAUACUGACGCUGAGGUGCGAAAGCGUGGGGAGCAAACAGGAUUAGAAAUCCGAGUAGUCCCAUG
rnacentral:rRNA from 1 species